rnacentral:rRNA from 1 species
GAAUUCGUCGACAACAGAGUUUGAUCCUGGCUCAGGAUGAACGCUGGCGGCGUGCCUAAUACAUGCAAGUCGAGCGAAUGGAUUAAGAGCUUGCUCUUAUGAAGUUAGCGGCGGACGGGUGAGUAACACGUGGGUAACCUGCCCAUAAGACUGGGAUAACUCCGGGAAACCGGGGCUAAUACCGGAUAACAUUUUGAACCGCAUGGUUCGAAAUUGAAAGGCGGCUUCGGCUGUCACUUAUGGAUGGACCCGCGUCGCAUUAGCUAGUUGGUGAGGUAACGGCUCACCAAGGCAACGAUGCGUAGCCGACCUGAGAGGGUGAUCGGCCACACUGGGACUGAGACACGGCCCAGACUCCUACGGGAGGCAGCAGUAGGGAAUCUUCCGCAAUGGACGAAAGUCUGACGGAGCAACGCCGCGUGAGUGAUGAAGGCUUUCGGGUCGUAAAACUCUGUUGUUAGGGAAGAACAAGUGCUAGUUGAAUAAGCUGGCACCUUGACGGUACCUAACCAGAAAGCCACGGCUAACUACGUGCCAGCAGCCGCGGUAAUACGUAGGUGGCAAGCGUUAUCCGGAAUUAUUGGGCGUAAAGCGCGCGCAGGUGGUUUCUUAAGUCUGAUGUGAAAGCCCACGGCUCAACCGUGGAGGGUCAUUGGAAACUGGGAGACUUGAGUGCAGAAGAGGAAAGUGGAAUUCCAUGUGUAGCGGUGAAAUGCGUAGAGAUAUGGAGGAACACCAGUGGCGAA